rnacentral:rRNA from 1 species
GAUGAACGCUAGCGGGAGGCCUAACACAUGCAAGCCGAGCGGUAUAGAAUCUUCGGAUUUUAGAGAGCGGCGUACGGGUGCGGAACACGUGUGCAACCUACCUUUAUCUGGAGGAUAGCCUUUCGAAAGGAAGAUUAAUACUCCAUAAUAUAUUGAUUGGCAUCAAUUAAUAUUGAAAGCUCCGGCGGAUAGAGAUGGGCACGCGCAAGAUUAGUUAGUUGGUGAGGUAACGGCUCACCAAGACGAUGAUCUUUAGGGGCCUGAGAGGGUGAUCCCCCACACUGGUACUGAGACACGGACCAGACUCCUACGGGAGGCAGCAGUGAGGAAUAUUGGACAAUGGGUGCAAGCCUGAUCCAGCCAUCCCGCGUGAAGGACGACUGCCCUAUGGGUUGUAAACUUCUUUUGUAUAGGGAUAAACCUCUCCUCGUGAGGAGAGCUGAAGGUACUAUACGAAUAAGCACCGGCUAACUCCGUG